rnacentral:rRNA from 1 species
AUGGUUGUCGUCAGCUCGUGUCGUGUAGAUGUGGUUAAGUCCGCAACGAGCGCAACCCCUAUUGUUAGUUGCCAUCAUUCAGUUGGGCACUCUAGCGAGACUGCCGGUAAUAAACCGGAGGAAGGUGGGAUGACGUCAAAUCAUCAUGCCCCUUAUGACCUGGGCUACACACGUGCUACAAUGGUUGGUACAACGAGUUGCGAGUCGGUGACGGCGAGCUAAUCUCUUAAAGCCAAUCUCAGUUCGGAUUGUAGGCUGCAACUCGCCUACAUGAAGUCGGAAUCGCUAGUAAUCGCGGAUCAGCACGCCGCGGUGAAUACGUUCCCGGGCCUU